UCUCUUAGAUUUUUUUUUUAUAUUAGUAUUUCAAUGCCUCUCUCUCUACUCUCUCUGCUUUUAUAUACACUACACCACUAUAUAUACAAGUCAAAACACCAUAUGGGUUAGGCUUUCUAUGCAGGGGAAGAAAAGGUGUGUGGGUGUGUUGAGGGGAAUGUUGGCUGGCUCGAAGCUUAAGCAAAGAGUUUCCUAACAUGAAACAACUGUUAAGGCUUCGGACCAGGCUUCAUUCCCCUCAAACAUACAAGCUUAUUUUAUGCAUUUCAUGUGCAAAUUCAUCAGUUAUUCUGUUACAUCUUUCUCUCUCUCUUUGUUUAUCAGAAGUUAUAGCAUGAGUUCAGUUUCGUGAGGGUUAGGUUGAGAGGGAUGUUGUCUGGCUCGAGGUCAUUGAGGCCAUGAUUAUACAGACAUGGCAUUACCUGAUGACAGCCGAGAAAAUUCAAAGUCUGUGUGUAUCUUGUACCUCGAUGAUUCUCGGACCAGGCUUCAUUCCUUCCAACAAACAUUUGCUACAAUUUCUUUGCUUGCCAAACAUGAUUCUCUUAACUACAGUUCCAUAAUAUCAACUUCUGGUUGCUAGCUUAGCUUUUCUUUUAGUUCCAUCUCAGCUAUGUGGUCAAUACUCCUAAAUACAACGAAGGUAAGCUUAUAUAACAACUAUUUCCCACCUUGGAUGAGAAUAGCAUCUCUCUCUCUCUCUCUCUCUCCAAAAAAAAAUAAACAACACAGACAGACAGAAAACCAUACAGACUACAGUAGUUUCUUGACUAUUCCUUACUUAACAUGAUAUAACAGAGAUUUAAGAGAAUUAUUUUCUCUAACUCAGAUGUGGGAUCUAGCUAGCCAUGAAUGCCUACAUUUGACGUGGACAAGAUAGCAGGUGCAGUGAAAAGCCAUUGGAUUUUGAAAUUGUUAGCAGGAACCUAGCUAAAACCUACACUUUCUUCCAUAGAGUCCAAAAGGCAGCCUUCUAUAUAGCCUCAAGUUUAAUACUGCUCCCCCUUUUAAGAAUCUAAGGUAAGGGAUAUGUUAGAAACAUGCAAGAAAAGACAUCCAUCUGUUUCUCUUUCCUAGUAAAUUAAUGGGUGCAUUCCCAUGCAAACGAUUAUAUCAAAUUAGAAGCAAAUCUUCAGUAACCAGGUAGAUGCUGGAUACAUAUGAUCAGUUACCCUAAAUAGCCCAUGAUUAUAUAGCUUUCAAAUGGUUAUAUUUCAUUCCCAAUUUAGCAACUAAAAUUAGACUAUUGUUUUAUGUGUUUUUGCUCAGAAAGAUGAUGUGGGCUAUGACUUAUGAACUAAGCUUAGCAUUGAAACGUAACUGUUGCAUUUGUUUUGGGGCUUUGUUUUGUUGUAAGAAGUUAGCAUUUAAGGGCCGAGUCAUGAAAAAUACUGAAUUAAAAGAUUCCAUUCGUAGAUGUGAACAGUUAACAAGAGAAGAAAGGCAGCUAGCUUCUCGGUUAUCAUAGAUCCUUAUGAUCAACUUUUUUGUUGCCAUUAACUAUUUAUGACCCAGAAAAACCUGCAUAUUAUAUGACAACGAAAAACUUUACUGGAAAAGAAAGAGAGAGAGAGAGAGAGAGAGAGAGAAGCACAGAGAAAAUGGUGUAGUGCAUUUAUGACAAGGGCUUUUGAGUUGUUGAAAAAAUCAGAUAAUUAUACUAUCCUUAGAAAAGCUAGCUAGCUCACAGAUUUCAAACAUGGCAGGGUCUUCUCUUGCUUGUUUCUCUCGUGGAGGAAGGUCCAGAUAUUUUGGCUUUUGAAAAGCCAACGUCAAUUUCAAUUUUCCAUUAGAGAGAAGAGCAGAGAGAGGAAGGGAGAGUAAAUGACGACUAUCUGACGCUUCUUGGGAAAUGUAACGAGAUAGAGAAGGCAUUAAUAGAUGGAUAGACAUGGUAUUGUUCCACCAACAUCAAUCUCUCCUGUUUGACAGCUUCAUCAUCAUGUAUUUAUUAUUAUUGAGUACUUCAAUACCAGCUAGCUCUGAUGGCUAGCUUAUUAGGGUUCUGUAGUGUUACAGUGUUGUGUGAAAGUAAUGUGAAGCUAUUUGUGGCACAGGAAUAUACUACCAUCUUCCAAGCUUUGUAGCUA